AGUGAACGCUGGCGGUAGGCCUAACACAUGCAAGUCGAACGGCAGCACAGUAAGAGCUUGCUCUUACGGGUGGCGAGUGGCGGACGGGUGAGGAAUACAUCGGAAUCUACUUUUUCGUGGGGGAUAACGUAGGGAAACUUACGCUAAUACCGCAUACGACCUACGGGUGAAAGCAGGGGAUCUUCGGACCUUGCGCGAUUGAAUGAGCCGAUGUCUGAUUAGCUAGUUGGCGGGGUAAAGGCCCACCAAGGCGACGAUCCGUAGCUGGUCUGAGAGGAUGAUCAGCCACACUGGAACUGAGACACGGUCCAGACUCCUACGGGAGGCAGCAGUGGGGAAUAUUGGACAAAGGGCGCAAGCCUGAUCCAGCCAUACCGCGUGGGUGAAGAAGGCCUUCGGGUUGUAAAGCCCUUUUGUUGGGAAAGAAAAGCAGCAGGUUAAUACCCCGCUGUUCUGACGGUACCCAAAGAAUAAGCACCGGCUAACUUCGUG
rnacentral:rRNA from 1 species